UACGAAGGGGGCUAGCGUUGCUCGGAAUCACUGGGCGUAAAGGGUGCGUAGGCGGGUCUUUAAGUCAGGGGUGAAAUCCUGGAGCUCAACUCCAGAACUGCCUUUGAUACUGGUGAUCUUGAGUCCGGGAGAGGUGAGGUGGAACUGCGAGUGUAGAGGUGAAAUUCGUAGAUAUUCGCAAGAACACCAGUGGCGAAGGCGGCUCACUGGCCCGGUACUGACGCUGAGGC
rnacentral:rRNA from 1 species